AUUGAACGCUGGCGGAAUGCUUUACACAUGCAAGUCGAACGGUAGAGGGGGCAACCCCUCGAGAGUGGCGAACGGGUGAGUAAUAUAUCGGAACGUGCCCAGUCGUGGGGGAUAACGUAGCGAAAGUUACGCUAAUACCGCAUACGAUCUAAGGAUGAAAGCGGGGGAUCGCAAGACCUCGCGCGAUUGGAGCGGCCGAUAUCAGAUUAGGUAGUUGGUGGGGUGAAGGCUCACCAAGCCAACGAUCUUUAGCUGGUCUGAGAGGACGACCAGCCACACUGGAACUGAGACACGGUCCAGACUCCUACGGGAGGCAGCAGUGGGGAAUUUUGGACAAUGGACGCAAGUCUGAUCCAGCCAUUCCGCGUGCAGGAUGAAGGCCCUCGGGUUGUAAACUGCUUUUGUACGGAACGAAAAGGUCUCUCUUAAUACGGGGGACUCAUGACGGUACCGUAAGAAUAAGCACCGGCUAACUACGUGCCAGCCGCCGCCGUAA
rnacentral:rRNA from 1 species